rnacentral:misc_RNA from 1 species
GAUGAAGAACGUAGCGAAAUGCGAUAAGUAAUGUGAAUUGCAGAAUUCAGUGAAUCAUCGAGUCUUUGAACGCACAUUGCGCCCCCUGGCAUUCCGGGGGGCAUGCCUGUCCGAGCGUCAUUUCUGCCCUCAAGCACGGCUUGUGUGUUGGGUGCGGUCCCCCCGGGGACCUGCCCGAAAGGCAGCGGCGACGUCCGUCUGGUCCUCGAGCGUAUGGGGCUCUGUCACUCGCUCGGGAAGGACCUGCGGGGGUUGGUCACCACUAUAUUUUACCACGGUUGACCUCGGAUCAGGUAGGAGUUACCCGCUGAACUUAAGCAUAUCAAUAAGCGGAGGA